UACGGAGGGGGCUAGCGUUGUUCGGAAUUACUGGGCGUAAAGCGCUUGUAGGCGGCUUGUUAAGUUCCGUGUGAAAUCCCCAGGCUUAACCUGGGAAGUGCGCGGAAAACUGGCGAGCUUGAGUGCCGGAGAGGGUCGCGGAAUUCCCGGUGUAGAGGUGAAAUUCGUAGAUAUCGGGAGGAACACCAGUGGCGAAGGCGGCGACCUGGACGGACACUGACGCUGAGACGCGAAAGCGUGGGGAGCAAACAGG
rnacentral:rRNA from 1 species